rnacentral:rRNA from 1 species
AUUGAACGCUGGCGGCAGGCUUAACACAUGCAAGUCGAACGGAGCGGCGGAGGGGUGAGUAAUGACUAGGAAUCUGCCUGGUAGUGGGGGAUAACGUGCAGAAACGGGCGCUAAUACCGAAUACUAGCAGAGCAGACGACGUGGGAGUAGCUAGUUGGUGGGGAAAAGGCCUACCAAGGCGACGAUACGUAACUGGUCUGAGAGGAUGAUCAGUCACACUGGAACUGAGACACGGUCCAGACUCCUACGGGAGGCAGCAGUGGGGAAUAUUGGACAAUGGGCGAAAGCCUGAUCCAGCCAUGCCGCGUGUGUGAAGAAGGUCUUCGGAUUGUAAAGCACUUUAAGUUGGGAGGCGUUACCAACAGAAUAAGCACCGGCUAACUUCGUGCCAGCAGCCGCGGUAAUUC